rnacentral:rRNA from 1 species
UCAUGAUUAUGUGAUAGGUGGUGCAUGGCCGUUCUUAGUUCGUGGAGUGAUCUGUCUGCUUAAUUGCGUUUCACUAUGGCCCCAAAGUUAGCAAGUUAUCCAAUCAUGACCUUCGUCGACCCCUCACCUUUGAGUGCGCGUCCUAGCUUAGAGUACAUGGUGUAAAUGGACUUGUUUUGGGUACCCAGAAAGCAACGAACGUGACCGCAACGUCUUGUUGUCUCUCUUUUGACAGUUAUGGGUUAUCCCAGUCAUGUGCUUAUACUUUUAUGUGUAAAUACGUACGACACAGAGACUAGAUACCAAACUAGGCGUACCGCUGUAUCAUUUCUUUAAACCAGAGGAAGGUUGCGGCAAUAACAGGUCUGUGAUGC